CACGUAGGCGGAAUGUUAAGUCAGGGGUGAAAUCCCGGGGCUCAACCCCGGAACUGCCUUUGAUACUGGCAUUCUCGAGUCCGGAAGAGGUGAGUGGAAUUCCGAGUGUAGAGGUGAAAUUCGUAGAUAUUCGGAGGAACACCAGUGGCGAAGGCGGCUCACUGGUCCGGUACUGACGCUGAGGUGCGAAAGCGUGGGGAGCAAACG
rnacentral:rRNA from 1 species